AGUGAACGCUGGCGGUAGGCCUAACACAUGCAAGUCGAACGGCAGCACAGUAAGAGCUUGCUCUUACGGGUGGCGAGUGGCGGACGGGUGAGGAAUACAUCGGAAUCUACUUUUUCGUGGGGGAUAACGUAGGGAAACUUACGCUAAUACCGCAUACGACCUACGGGUGAAAGCAGGGGAUCUUCGGACCUUGCGCGAUUGAAUGAGCCGAUGUCGGAUUAGCUAGUUGGCGGGGUAAAGGCCCACCAAGGCGACGAUCCGUAGCUGGUCUGAGAGGAUGAUCAGCCACCCUGGAACUGAGACACGGUCCCGACUCCUACGGGAGGCAGCAGUGGGGAAUAUUGGACGAUGGGCGCAAGCCUGAUCCAGCCAUACCGCGUGGGUGAAGAAGGCCUUCUGGUUGUAAAGCCCUUUUGUUGGGAAAGAAAAGCAGCAGGUUAAUCCCCCGCUGUUCUGACGGUACCCAAAGAAUAAGCACCGGCUAACUUCGUG
rnacentral:rRNA from 1 species